UAUAUGUAUCUUAAAGAUAGAUACUACAGUACAUGGCUUGGAGGUUAGAGCCGAUACUGCUUAAGGAAGAAAAAUAGAUAGAUACUUUCAUUUAUGCUCUAUAUGCUCGAUAUUAAAGUGAAUCGAGAAAAAAGAAAUUAAAUAAGUAAGGAAGUGAUUAAAGGCCACCAACAAUGUAUUUAAAAAAAACCGUUUCACAAAAAAAAAGUUUGUUGAUAGUAUCUUGCAUCUUUAGAAAUAUUUCUAUAUAUAUUUAAAAUGUUUGAUGAGCAAAAGAUAUUGUAUAAGUUAUGUUACAAGAAAAGUGCUAAAAUGGAAUGGCAUGCUUGCAUUCGAUACUUAGAUGAUAAAAAAUAUCAUACUGUACCUAUAUCAUCAGUAUUUUUCCAAAAAAAUGAUACUGAUCAUAUCAAACCAGUAGAUAUAGCCGACUUUGAUCAAAAGAAUAAAUAUUAUAUUUUAUGGGAAGAUGGGAUAAAAUAUCCAGGGUACAUCGUAAGCCUAGGUGAAUCUGAAGAAGAUGCUAAGCAAAAAGCUUCUGCAAGAGGUAAAAGGUUAAUUUUGCCAAAAAAUUGACAUCAUCAAGCGAUAUCAGUGAUAAUGAAGAGACGACAUAUACGCAACCUUUGAAGAAAAAAAUUUGUAAGAUGUUAGCUCAAAAAGAGAGUUUAAAAAAAGUUAUUACAGAGUACAAAAGUAAAAUUUUAAUGGAUAGUUGUCAAGACUUCACUUUAGAGGGUUGCAAUGAUGAUAGUGGUACAACGCGCAGUGAUGAUAAUCAGUUAAAUAAAAUUGUUAAUGUAAGAUUGACUAACUGUCUCGUACCAAGUAAUAGUAACACGAAAGAAAUAGAACAUACAAGUACACAAAAAACAGGAGAAAGCUAUACAAUGAAUUCAGAACCUGCUGUUUUAUCUGACAUAAGCAAUAUAGUUCCCGUACCUCAAAAGACGCAAAAAGCUAGGAAGUCUUUCAUAUCAUCAAAGACCGUUAUGUUACAAGGACUUGAUGUCUCUACAAAUAAAGAUAAGCAACAGCUAUCCAUAAAUAAUCGUGCAAGUAAUUCGAUCACGCCAGAGACUAUUGCAUUUCGAAAAAGGCUAGCUCGCUUGCGUAGGAUAUCUGAUUCUUCAUUAUCAAAUUAACAGAAAAUGAACAAAAUAUGGAAGACGAUGAUUAUAGUGCAGAAGCCGUAUUUACAAUUCAGAACGUUACAAGAGUGCAAGAAAUCCCAUUAAAUAGUACUGAGAAGAAUUGUAAUGCAGAAAAUGUAAAUAAUUGUGCUUCUCCUGAUUUGCCAAUACGAGAAACAUCAGAUGAUGAUGAUGAUGAUGACGAUGAUGAUGAAACUGAUAUCAAUCAAAUUCCUUUGAAGCAUUUAUUCCAAUUCAAACAUAAAUUGUACAAGACUUACAAGAGAAAAAAAUUCGACUUGAAAACAGAAAAACAAGAAACAUAUAAAAGAUACGAAGAGGUAGAUGGGCAGAUUUACCUUGGUAUGGAUUGUAAAGUUGGCCCACAAACAUGGAGAAUAGCCAAUACGAAAAAGUAUAUAACUAUUUACGAAGUUUAACAGGCUUUCUUUGGAAAAAACGACAGUUAGCUCACCGUUUCCUUGAUUUUCCAAAAGUGAAAAAUAAAAAAUUACCUGGAGGAAACCCUAUAGUUCUUUGUUCGCCGCACAAGUUAAAUUUAUACUUAAGUAUAUUUGAAGAUUAUCUUAAUGAGAAUAGACGUUAUAAAAAUUUAACGGAAACUGAAAAAGAAAUGAUUGAAAAUUCUACGGAGGCUAUUUCCAACGUAAUAGGAGAUGAAUGUCUAAUAUUUAUCAAAAAAUACUCUAGAAAAUCAGUUUAAGAACAGUUAAUUUUUAGGUUAUAGGGGUCUUUCCUUAAAUUCUAUUAUAAAAGAUAGUUAAUAAUUUUAAAUUAUUAACAAUGAUUGUUAAUUAUUAAUUUAAAAAAGUUCUACCAUAAAUUAUUGUCACUAAAGAGCGUAAACAUAAUGAUCGAAACCAAAAAAGUUUAUGUAUUUAAAUAUAAUAAAAAUACCAAAGGUUGUAUCAAAGUUAUAAUAAAUAUUUUGAAUUAAAAUAAA